GUUGACGUUAAAAGCUCGUAGUCGACUUUCGGCCCUCGCUGGCCGGUCCGCUUUUUAUGAGUGUGUACUGGACCCAGCGGGGGCUUUACCUCCUGGUGAACUGGCAUGUCCUUUAUUGGGCGUGUCAGGGAACCCGGAAUUUUACUUUGAAUAAAUCAGAGUGUUCAAAGCAGGCAUGUUUGCCCGAAUGUUACAGCAUGGAAUAAUAGAAUAGGAUGUGUGCCGCUAUUGGUCUUUUAGCGGCACCUUAAUGAGAAAUAGGGGCGGCUCGGGGGCAUUUGUAUUCAAUUGCUAGAGGUGAAAUUCUUGGAUUUAUUGAAGACAAACUACUGCGAAAGCAUUUGCCAAGGACGCUUUCAUUGAUCAAGAACGAAGGUCGGGGGAUCGAAAACGAUUAGAUACCGUUGUAGUCUCGACAGUAAACUAUGCCAAUGGGCGAUUGGUGAGGGUUUUUUUAAUGACCUCAUCAGCAGCCAAAGAGAAAUCUUGAAUGCGGUUCGUGGGGGAGUACGGUCACAAGGCUGAAACUUAAAGGAAUUGACGGAAGGGCACCACCAGGAGUGGAGCCUGCGGCUUAAUUUGACUCAACACGGGGAAACUCACCAGGUCCAGACACAAUUAGGAUUGACAGAUUGAUAGCUCUUUCUUGAUCUUGUGGUUGGUGGUGCAUGGCCGUUCUUAGUUGGUGGAGUGAUUUGUCUGCUUAAUUGCGAUAACGAACGAGACCUUAACCUGCUAAAUAGCCCGGCCGGCUUUGGCUGGCCGCUGGCUUCUUAGAGGGACUUUCAACGUUUAGUUGACGAGUUUGAGCAUAACAGUCUGUGAUGCCCUUAGAUGUCUGGGCGCACGCGCGCUACACUGAC
rnacentral:rRNA from 1 species